rnacentral:tRNA from 1 species
GGCUCGGUCGUCCAGUGGUAGGAUUCUUGCUUCGGGUAUAAGUUGCCAGCAUCACUCAGUGGUGUUAGAGAUUUCUUCUGAACUGUGAGAGGUCCCGGGUUCAAUCCCCGGUUGAGCCC